AGUGAACGCUGGCGGUAGGCCUAACACAUGCAAGUCGAACGGCAGCACAGUAAGAGCUUGCUCUUACGGGUGGCGAGUGGCGGACGAGUGAGGAAUACAUCGGAAUCUACUUUUUCGUGGGGGAUAACGUAGGGAAACUUACGCUAAUACCGCAUACGACCUACGGGUGAAAGCAGGGGAUCUUCGGACCUUGCGCAAUUGAAUGAGCCGAUGUCGGAUUAGCUAGUUGGCGGGGUAAAGGCCCACCAAGGCGACGAUCCGUAGCUGGUCUGAGAGGAUGAUCAGCCACACUGGAACUGAGACACGGUCCAGACUCCUACGGGAGGCAGCAGUGGGGAAUAUUGGACAAUGGGCGCAAGCCUGAUCCAGCCAUACCGCGUGGGUGAAGAAGGCCUUCGGGUUGUAAAGCCCUUUUGUUGGGAAAGAAAAGCAGCAGGUUAAUACCCCGCUGUUCUGACGGUACCCAAAGAAUAAGCACCGGCUAACUUCGUG
rnacentral:rRNA from 1 species